rnacentral:rRNA from 1 species
CACGUAGUUAGCCGGGGCUUCUUACUCAGGUACCGUCAUUUUCUUCCCUGCUGAUAGAGCUUUACGUAACGAAUUACUUCUUCACUCACGCGGCGUCGCUGCACCAGGGUUUCCCCCAUUGUGCAAUAUUCCCCACUGCUGCCUCCCGUAGGAGUCUGGGCCGUGUCUCAGUCCCAAUGUGGCCGUCCGCCCUCUCAGGCCGGCUACUGAUCGUCGCCUUGGUGGGCCGUUACCCCGCCAACAAGCUAAUCAGACGCGGGUCCAUCUUACACCACCGGAGUUUUUCACACCGCUUCAUGCGAAGCUGUGCGCUUAUGCGGUUUUAGCACCUAUUUCUAAGUGUUAUCCCCCUGUGUAAGGCAGGUUGCCCACGCGUUACUCACCCGUCCGCCACUAACCCAUAUAUCACCAGGUUUCAAUAUGGGUCCGUUCGACUUGCAUGUGUUAAGCACGCCGCCAGCGUUCAUCCUGAGCCAGGAUCAAACUCU